CCCAGAACACUGGUGUGCUGGCCUGCAGAUGUGAGCAAGCUUUAAAAAGGAGAGUGACUCAUGAAACAUCGCUUCGAGGGAGAAGACCCACAUACGACCAGUACGAGCACUUUAAACUAAGCAUCUAAGACAGCAGAAGAAAAAAUCAGAAGGAAACAAUGGAGAAGUAUAAAGAGAGACCACACACCUAACUCCUUCGACAGCUCUGGUACCAUCCCAGAGGUCACUGGAUGUGAUUUUACUUCUGCAAUAUCCCACGUUCCUGCAUUCUAAAGAAGGAAACCAACAGUAACCCAAAGUGUGAUGUCAUGUUGAGAGCUGGCAACUGCAGUUUCAGCCUGACACUCCCAAUCCUUUUACAGCCUUUCCAUGUUCUCAUCAUCCCAAGCCUGCAGCUACUUUUAUUGCUGGAGAAGAAUCAAGCAAAGGAGAAAUGAUCUCCUAGGGACAGAAUCCAGCCAAGUUGCUAUUUGCACCUUCUCAGCCCUUCCAAUUGCAUAUCAUACCAGCACAGCAUUUCUCUGGACUUAAUUCCUCACUCAUCUGGACUGAUUUGCCUUUCGUGAGCAACAGAAUGUUGUCAUACAUCAGGAUGCUGUCAUACAUCAGGUUGGAGUUUGGCCUUCUGAAGGCAGGAGAGUGAAAAAUGGUACUAAUGUCCUUCCCACACCAACCCUGUAUUCUGCAAAGGAAAGGACUCCAGCAAAGAAAGCAACUAACGUAACGGCAACCUAAGACCACGUUCUGAAUCAUCAGAGUCCUGGACUACUGCUACUGAAGCACAUUCACACAGUGUUCCCAUUUUCUCCCAUCUGAAGCCAUGGUGUACUAGAGGCUUCUCAUGGAUGCCUGUGAAGCUGAGGACCUGCUAAGCUUGCAUAGCUUAUUGGGCUCAUCAAAGCUGUGAGUGUGUCAACAUCACUCCACCUACUUGGAGGUGCUCUGGAAUAACUGAUUCACAGGCAUUUUGCUUGCUUGGCACUCAGCCUUGUGCAGCCAGUGCUGUCUUGAGCCUUUUCAAGUAAUUCAGGCAAAAAAUGGAGUUUGCUGACAAAAGGGGGUUUGCCUAGAGCAUCUCUACUAGGAAGACAUCCAAUCUUGAUCUGAAAACAUCAAGAGACAGAGAAUCCAACGCUUCUUUUGAGAUUUUAUGCUCAUUAAAAUCUGAGAACUAUGGCAAGGAUUUCAGCUUGAUAGGCAGAAAGUAUCUCAUUCGUCCCAAAGGAGUGGGGGGGGGACACCCCGCAGCUCUCAGGAAGAGGGACGGCUUACCUGGACGUGGGCUCUUGGUGAGGGCUCAGCACAACGUGAGGAUGCCCGUGGGAACCUGUACCUCUGCAGUAUGCAUUUUGCCGUGGUUUAUUUGUGCUGUCCCCGUAACACACCCAUUGCUGUGGGAUGUGGAUGCCUUUCGGUGAUGUACUAAACUAAUAAACUACCUGUCAUGCGUGUUUCUGACUCAGUUUUGCAGUCGAAAAGGAAAAGUCAUCCCUCCCUGAUGGCACAUUGCCGUGUGGCCACUCUACACUCACUAUAAGUUUAAAACAAC
ensembl:lncRNA